rnacentral:rRNA from 1 species
AUUGAACGCUGGCGGCAGGCCUAACACAUGCAAGUCGAGCGGAGCGGCGGGCGGGUGGGUAAUGACUAGGAAUGUGCCUGGUCGUGGGGGAUAACUUACGGAUGCGGGCGCUAAUACCGCAUACUAUCAGAUGAGCCUAGGUGGGAUUGGCUAGCUGGUGGGGUAAAGGCCUACCAAGGCGACGAUCCGUAACUGGUCUGAGAGGAUGAUCAGUCACACUGGAACUGAGACACGGCCCAGACUCCUACGGGAGGCAGCAGUGGGGAAUAUUGGACAAUGGGCGAAAGCCUGAUCCAGCCAUGCCGCGUGUGUGAAGAAGGUCUUCGGAUUGUAAAGCACUUUAAGUUGGGAGGCGUUACCAACAGAAGAAGCACCGGCUAACUUCGUGCCAGCAGCCGCGGUAAUAC